rnacentral:misc_RNA from 1 species
GCUCCGUUGGUGAACCAGCGGAGGGAUCAUUACAGGAACUCGCAAGACUCCUAACCCACUGUGAACCUACCCGACGUUGCCUCGGCGGGCGCCCGGCCUCGCGCCGGGCACCAAGCCCGCCGGCGGCCCCCUACUCUGUCUCUGCAGCGUUGUGUCUCCGAGUAUACCAAAACAAGUCAAAACUUUCAACAACGGAUCUCUUGGCUCUA